AUACGGAGGAUGCAAGCGUUAUCCGGAUUUAUUGGGUUUAAAGGGUGCGUAGGCUGUUCGACAAGUCAGGGGUGAAAGCCCAGUGCCUAACACUGGAACUGCCUUUGAUACUGCCGAGCUGGAAUACGGAUGCCGUGGGAGGAAUGAGUAGUGUAGCGGUGAAAUGCAUAGAUAUUACUCAGAACACCGAUUGCGAAGGCAUCUCACGAAUCCGUCAUUGACGCUGAGGCACGAAAGCGUGGGGAUCAAACAGGAUUAGAUACCCUGGUAGUCCACGCAGUAAACGAUGAUAACUAACCGUCGGCGAUACACAGUCGGUGGCCAAGCGAAAGCGAUAUGUUAUCCACCUGGGGAGUACGUUCGCAAGAAUGAGACUCAAAUGAAUUGACGGGG
rnacentral:rRNA from 1 species